AUGAAUUCACUAAAAAAAGUCACAAUAUUUAGAUUAAUCAAUACUAUAGAGAACAUUGAUUUGAUUAAUCUAUUUGAAUCUAAGGACACUGUCUAUGAAGUCAUUGGUGAUGAGGUAAAUAUAAAAGUAAAAGUGUUUUUAUUUCUUUUGUUUAUAUUCUUUUUCCAACGUUUCUACUCAUUUUUGUUGAACAUAGAGAUUUAG